GUGCCUAACACAUGCAAGUCGAACGAGAAAGUGGAGCAAUCCAUGAGUAAAGUGGCGACCGGGUGAGUAACACGUGACUACCUACCCUCGAGUGGGGAAUAACCUAGGGAAACCUGGGCUAAUACCGCAUAAUGUCUUCGGACCAAAGGAGCAAUUCGCUGGAGGAGGGGGUCGCGGCCGAUUAGCUAGUUGGCGGGGUAACGGCCCACCAAGGCAAUGAUCGGUAGCCGGCCUGAGAGGGCGCACGGCCACACUGGAACUGAAACACGGUCCAG
rnacentral:rRNA from 1 species